rnacentral:misc_RNA from 1 species
GAAAUGCGAUAAUUAAUGUGAAUUGCAGAAUUCAGUGAAUCAUCGAAUCUUUGAACGCACAUUGCGCCCCCUGGUAUUCCGGGGGGCAUGCCUGUUCGAGCGUCAUUUCACCACUCAAGCCUCGCUUGGUAUUGGGCGACGCGGUCCGCCGCGCGCCUCAAAUCGACCGGCUGGGUCUUUCGUCCCCUCAGCGUUGUGGAAACUAUUCGCUAAAGGGUGCCGCGGGAGGCCACGCCGUAAAACAACCCCAUUUCUAAGGUUGACCUCGGAUCAGGUAGGGAUACCCGCUGAACUUAAGC